UACAGGGGGUGCAAACGUUGCUCGGAAUCAUUGGGCGUAAAGCGCACGUAGGCGGUUUGUCGCGUCUGCUGUGAAAACCCGAGGCUCAACCUCGGGCCUGCAGUGGGUACGGGAAGACUAGAGUGCGGUAGGGGAGAUUGGAAUUCCUGGUGUAGCGGUGGAAUGCGCAGAUAUCAGGAGGAACACCAAUGGCGAAGGCAGAUCUCUGGGCCGUAACUGACGCUGAGGAGCGAAAGCAUGGGGAGCGAACAGG
rnacentral:rRNA from 1 species